rnacentral:rRNA from 1 species
GAUGAACGCUGGCGGCGUGCCUAAUACAUGCAAGUCGAGCGAACGGACGAGAAGCUUGCUUCUCUGAUGUUAGCGGCGGACGGGUGAGUAACACGUGGAUAACCUACCUAUAAGACUGGGAUAACUUCGGGAAACCGGAGCUAAUACCGGAUAAUAUUUUGAACCGCAUGGUUCAAAGGUGAAAGACGGUCUUGCUGUCACUUAUAGAUGGAUCCGCGCUGCAUUAGCUAGUUGGUAAGGCAACGGCUUACCAAGGCAACGAUGCAUAGCCGACCUGAGAGGGUGAUCGGCCACACUGGAACUGAGACACGGUCCAGACUCCUACGGGAGGCAGCAGUAGGGAAUCUUCCGCAAUGGGCGAAAGCCUGACGGAGCAACGCCGCGUGAGUGAUGAAGGUCUUCGGAUCGUAAAACUCUGUUAUUAGGGAAGAACAUAUGUGUAAGUAACUGUGCACAUCUCGACGGUACCUAAUCAGAAAGCCACGGCUAACUACGUG